CCCCUAGAUGUUCUGGGCCGCACGCGCGCUACACUGAACAGUUCAACAAGUCUUAACCUUGGCCGAUAGGUCUGGGUAAUCUUUGAACGCUGUUCGUGAUUGGGAUAGACCUUUGCAAUUAUGGGUCUUCAACGAGGAAUUCCUAGUAAACGCAAGUCAUCAGCUUGCAUUGAUUACGUCCCUGCCCUUUGUACACACCGCCCGUCGCACCUACCGAUUGAAUGGUCCGGUGAAAUCUCGGGACGGCGGCUUGGUCGCUUGCGUCUGACUGCUGAAACUUGAUUAAACCAUAUCAUUUAGAGGAAGGUGAAGUCGUAACA
rnacentral:rRNA from 1 species